rnacentral:rRNA from 1 species
CCUACGGGAGGCUGCAGUGGGGAAUAUUGCACAAUGGGGGAAACCCUGAUGCAGCGACGCCGCGUGAGUGAAGAAGUAUUUCGGUACGUAAAGCUCUAUCAGCAGGGAAGUAAAAAAGUCCUUUGGACUUUGGACGGUACCUGACCAAGACGCCCCGGCUAACUACGUGCCAGCAGCCGCGGUAAUACGUAGGGGGCAAGCGUUAUCCGGAUUUACUGGGUGUAAAGGGAGCGUAGACGGCAGCGCAAGUCUGGAGUGAAAUGCCGGUGCCCAACCCCGGAACUGCUUUGGAAACUGGGCAGCUGGAGUGCAGGAGAGGUAAGCGGAAUUCCUAGUGUAGCGGUGAAAUGCGUAGAUAUUAGGAGGAACACCAGUGGCGAAGGCGGCUUACUGGACUGUAACUGACGUUGAGGCUCGAAAGCGUGGGGAGCAAACAGGAUUAGAUACCCCAGUAGUC